GUGUUGCAACUCAAAUGAAGCAACGGGCUGUCACUGAAUGCCCUGGGAAAUAAGUGAAUAUGUAGUUAGGCAUGAAUUGAGGUUUUAACCAAGCCGGUUAAGCAGCUGUUUUUUUAAGCAUGUUGUUUUCUUUUGUUUGUUUAUGAUGUCAAUAAGGUUCAACAUGUUUGCUUCCUCUGGUGGUUUCAUAAUGACAUUUGUUUGCUUGUUUUAUUAAAUGCCAUUCAGCAUUAUCCUUUAUUUCUGACUGGAUAUAUUAUUUAUCCUUUGUAUCAUCUACUCCUAGUGUUUUCCAUUUUGCAUGUGCUGCAAUUAUAAGUUAUUUACAUGCACAUUUCUUGGCAGAGAACUUGUUGGUUACA
rnacentral:misc_RNA from 1 species